AAUCUUAGUGGCGAAACGGGGUGGAGUAACGACGGUAACUCAACCUGCCCUUCCACAGGGGGACGAACAAGUUGGAAACGACUAGCUAAUACCGCCAUACCGAUCUAACCUCGCAUCGAGGAUAGAUGAAAGUGGCCUCUACAUGUAAGCUAUCACUGAAGAGGGGAGUUGCGUCUGAUUAGCUAGUUGAGGGGUAACGGGCCCACCAAGGCGAUGAUCAGUAGCCGGUCCUGAGAGGAUGAACGGCCACAUUGGGACUGAGACACGGCCCAGACUCCUACGGGAGGCAGCAGUGGGGAAUCUUCCGCAAUGGACGAAAGUCUGACGGAGCAACGCCGCGUGAGUGAUGACGGCCUUCGGGUCGUAAAGCUCUGUUAAUCGGGACGAAAGGCCUUCUUGCGAAUAGUGAGAAGGAUUGACGGUACCGGAAUAGAAAGCCACGGCUAACUACGUG
rnacentral:rRNA from 1 species